rnacentral:rRNA from 1 species
UACGGGGGGGGCAAGCGUUGUUCGGAAUUACUGGGCGUAAAGGGCUCGUAGGCGGCACCGCAAGUCGACUGUGAAAUCUCCGGGCUUAACUCGGAAAGGUCAGCCGAUACUGCGGGGCUAGAGUGCAGAAGGGGCAACUGGAAUUCUCGGUGUAGCGGUGAAAUGCGUAGAUAUCGAGAGGAACACCUGCGGCGAAGGCGGGUUGCUGGGCUGACACUGACGCUGAUGCGCGAAAGCUAGGGGAGCGAACGGG